GAUGAACGCUGGCGGCGUGCCUAAUACAUGCAAGUCGAGCGAACGGACGAGAAGCUUGCUUCUCUGAUGUUAGCGGCGGACGGGUGAGUAACACGUGGAUAACCUACCUAUAAGACUGGGAUAACUUCGGGAAACCGUAGCUAAUACUGGAUAAUAUUUUGAACCGCAUGGUUCAAAAGUGAAAGACGGUCUUGCUGUCACUUAUAGAUGGAUCCGCACUGCAUUAGCUAGUUGGUAAGGUAACGGCUUACCAAGGCAACGAUGCAUAGCCGACCUGAGGGGAUGAUCGGCCACACUGGAACUGAGACACGGUCCAGACUCCUACGGGAGGCAGCAGUAGGGAAUCUUCCGCAAUGGGCGAAAGCCUGACGGAGCAACGCCGCGUGAGUGAUGAAGGUCUUCGGAUCGUAAAACUCUGUUAUUAGGGAAGAACAUAUGUGUAAGUAACUGUGCACAUCUUGACGGUACCUAAUCAGAAAGCCACGGCUAACUACGUG
rnacentral:rRNA from 1 species